UUUAAGAAGGUGCAAAGGGUUUAGAUGUACCUCGCUCUGAGCCUGAGCUUCAGUAUAAAGGCCACUCUUGGCCUCAUUCCUUGCCCUCGCUGCCCUCCCCCCAAAACCUGUAGUGGCUCCCCACUGCCAGCAGAGUAAAGUCUGACCCCUCAUUGGUCUGGCAUUCAGAGCUCUUCACCACCUGGCCUCGGAUGCCCUUCUAGAAUCAUCUCUCGCUGUUCUCUUUUGCAGGCACAAAUCCCAGAAGGAGCCAUGCACAGGCCUGGGAAACAGCCUAAGCCAAGAUCAGGUUGUCGUGGCUCAGCCUUCGGGAUCCGGGAGCGAAAGGCACGUUCCAGGCCUGAGGAGCUCGUCGGCGUGGAGACGGGGAGACAGAUGAGCAGUCCCUCAGGUGCCAGCAGGGGGACACCUGCCCAGACAGAUCCCUGCCCCAGAUGAGGUGCUGUGUGCAGAGUACUUACACCCGGAUGUGG
rnacentral:lncRNA from 1 species